CGGAUCGACCCUUCGAGGAGCGUUCACAGGUGCUGCAUGGCUGUCGUCAGCUCGUGCCGUGAGGUGUUCGGUUAAGUCCGGUAACGAGCGCAACCCUUGCUGUUAGUUACAAGUGUCUAACGGGACUGCCGGUUUAAUACCGGAGAAGUGGGGAUGACGUCAAGUCAGCAUGGCCUCUAUGCCCAGGGCUACACACACGCUACAAUGGCCGGUACAGUGGGUUGCCAAACCGCGAGGUGGAGCUAAUCCUCAAAGCCGGUCUCAGUUCGGAUUGUAGGCUGCAACUCGCCUGCAUGAAGUCGGAGUUGCUAGUAACCGCGCGUCAGCUAUAGCGCGGUGAAUACGUUCCCGGGCCUU
rnacentral:rRNA from 1 species